GUGGGGAAUCUUGCGCAAUGGGCGAAAGCCUGACGCAGCCAUGCCGCGUGAAUGAUGAAGGUCUUAGGAUUGUAAAAUUCUUUCACCGGGGACGAUAAUGAUGGUACCCGGAGAAGAAGCCCCGGCUAACUUCGUGCCAGCAGCCGCGGUAAUACGAAGGGGGCUAGCGUUGCUCGGAAUUACUGGGCGUAAAGGGCGCGUAGGCGGACAGUUUAGUCAGGGGUGAAAGCCCAGGGCUCAACCUUGGAAUUGCCUUUGAUACUGGCUGUCUUGAGUACGGGAGAGGUGAGUGGAACUCCGAGUGUAGAGGUGAAAUUCGUAGAUAUUCGGAAGAACACCAGUGGCGAAGGCGACUGACUGGACAAGUAUUGACGCUGAGGUGCGAAAGCGUGGGGAGCAAACAGGAUUAGAAACCCCGGUAGUCC
rnacentral:rRNA from 1 species